UGGGGAAUAUUGAACAAUGGACCAAAAGUCUGAUCCAGCAAUUCUGUGUGCACGAUGACGUUUUUCGGAAUGUAAAGUGCUUUCAGUUGGGAAGAAAAAAAUGACGGUACCAACAGAAGAAGUGACGGCUAAAUACGUGCCAGCAGCCGCGGUAAUACGUAUGUCACAAGCGUUAUCCGGAUUUAUUGGGCGUAAAGCGCGUCUAGGUGGUUAUGUAAGUCUGAUGUGAAAAUGCAGGGCUCAACUCUGUAUUGCGUUGGAAACUGCAUGACUAGAGUACUGGAGAGGUAAGCGGAACUACAAGUGUAGAGGUGAAAUUCGUAGAUAUUUGUAGGAAUGCCGAUGGGGAAGCCAGCUUACUGGACAGAUACUGACGCUAAAGCGCGAAAGCGUGGGUAGCAAACAGGAUUAGAUACCCUGGUAGUCCACGCCGUAAACGAUGAUUACUAGGUGUUGGGGGUCGAACCUCAGCGCCCAAGCUAACGCGAUAAGUAAUCCGCCUGGGGAGUACGUACGCAAGUAUG
rnacentral:rRNA from 1 species